rnacentral:lncRNA from 1 species
CUUUGACGUAAUCAACCUCUGAAUCUUUUGAGGUUCAUCCAUCAUUAAUUUGAAGUAAUUGUUUUGACAUUGUUGAUCUCUCAAAACAUAAAAAGUACUCCCUAACAAGAAAGAGGCUGUGAUUUCAUUAAGGAUUUGUUACAUUUCAAGGGGGAAUACAAUUAUUUUAUGAAAAACAAAAGGAACAAAUAGAAUUAAGCUGACCUUUUAAUAAAUGUCUGUUUAUUGCCACUAAUGAAAAACAGAAGCAAAUAAGGCCAUAUUGACCCCUGACUUGUCUAAAUAAGGUGGGAUCAUCAUUACUUCAGAGAGUUUUAUCGAAACCACGAUUGCACUAGCUGCUUAUAAUU